UGGGGAAUUUUCCGCAAUGGGCGAAAGCCUGGCGGAGCAAUACCGCGUGAGGGAUGACGGCCUAUGGGUUGUAAACCUCUUUUUUCAGGGAGGAAUCAAUGACGUGUACCUGAAGAAUAAGCAUCGGCUAACU
rnacentral:rRNA from 1 species